rnacentral:rRNA from 1 species
UGGGGAAUUUUGGACAAUGGGGGAAACCCUGAUCCAGCCAUCCCGCGUGUGCGAUGAAGGCCUUCGGGUUGUAAAGCACUUUUGGCAGGAAAGAAACGUCGCGGGUUAAUACCCCGCGAAACUGACGGUACCUGCAGAAUAAGCACCGGCUAACUACGUGCCAGCAGCCGCGGUAAUACGUAGGGUGCAAGCGUUAAUCGGAAUUACUGGGCGUAAAGCGUGCGCAGGCGGUUCGGAAAGAAAGAUGUGAAAUCCCAGAGCUUAACUUUGGAACUGCAUUUUUAACUACCGGGCUAGAGUGUGUCAGAGGGAGGUGGAAUUCCGCGUGUAGCAGUGAAAUGCGUAGAUAUGCGGAGGAACACCGAUGGCGAAGGCAGCCUCCUGGGAUAACGCUGACGCUCAUGCACGAAAGCGUGGGGAGCAAACAGGAUUAGAUACCCUGGUAGUCCACGCCCUAAACGAUGUCAACUAGCUGUUGGGGCCUUCGGGCCUUGGUAGCGCAGCUAACGCGUGAAGUUGACCGCCUGGGGAGUACGGUCGCAAGAUUAAAACUCAAAGG